CAGCUGCAACCUGGGUCUGAGCCGCGCCUUGCAGCACGUGCAGCAACGGGCCCUGGCGCAGAGUGCUCACA
rnacentral:SRP_RNA from 1 species